rnacentral:rRNA from 1 species
CAGACCUCUAAUCGGAAAAAGG